UACGGGGGGGGCAAGCGUUGUCCGGAAUCAUUGGGCGUAAAGAGCGCGUAGGCGGCCCUGUAAGUCCGCUGUGAAAGUCAAGGGCUCAACCCUUGAAUGCCGGUGGAUACUGCAGGGCUAGAGUCCGGAAGAGGCGAGUGGAAUUCCUGGUGUAGCGGUGGAAUGCGCAGAUAUCAGGAAGAACACCGACGGCGAAGGCAGCUCGCUGGGACGGUACUGACGCUGAGGCGCGAAAGCGUGGGGAGCGAACAGG
rnacentral:rRNA from 1 species